AUUGAACGCUGGCGGCAGGCCUAACACAUGCAAGUCGAACGAGUGGCGGACGGGUGAGUAAUGUCUGGGAAACUGCCUGAUGGAGGGGGAUAACUACUGGAAACGGUAGCUAAUACCGCAUACCAUCGGAUGUGCCCAGAUGGGAUUAGCUAGUAGGUGGGGUAAAGGCUCACCUAGGCGACGAUCCCUAGCUGGUCUGAGAGGAUGACCGGCCACACGGAAACGUAAACCCGGUCCAGACUCCUACGGGGGGCGGAGGUGGGAAAUAUUGCACAAGGGGCGAAGGCCGAUGGCGGCCUUGCGGGGUUUAUGAGGAGGGCCUUGGGGUUGUAAGUUAUUUUCGGGGGGGAGACGUUACCCGCAGAAGAAGCACCGGCUAACUCCGUGCCAGCAGCCGCGUAAUUC
rnacentral:rRNA from 1 species